rnacentral:rRNA from 1 species
UACGUAGGGUGCAAGCGUUGUCCGGAAUUAUUGGGCGUAAAGAGCUUGUAGGCGGUUUGUCGCGUCUGCUGUGAAAUUUCGGGGCUCAACCCCGAACUUGCAGUGGGUACGGGCAGACUAGAGUCCGGCAGGGGAGACUGGAAUUCCUGGUGUAGCGGUGAAAUGCGCAGAUAUCAGGAGGAACACCGGUGGCGAAGGCGGGUCUCUGGGCCGGAACUGACGCUGAGGAGCGAAAGCGUGGGGAGCGAACAGG